rnacentral:rRNA from 1 species
CGCGAACGUUGGCGGCGUGCCUAACACAUGCAAGUCGUGGGGCAGCAGGCUACUGUCUUUUGGCAGUAGUGCUGGCGACCGGCAAACGGGUGAGUAACACGUAGCUUACCUACCCAUAGGUUGGGGAUAACAUCCCGAAAGGGGUGCUAAUACCCAAUAAUGAGGAGACUCCAAAGCCCUUAUGGGCGCCUAUGGAUGGGGCUGCGUCCCAUCAGCUAGUUGGUGAGGUAAUGGCUCACCAAGGCUACGACGGGUAACCGGUCUGAGAGGAUGACCGGUCACAGCGGGACUGAGACACGGCCCGCACCCCUACGGGGGGCAGCAGUGGGGAAUAUUGGGCAAUGGCCGAAAGGCUGACCCAGCAACGCCGCGUGGUGGAUGAAGCCCUUCGGGGUGUAAACACCUUUUCUGGGGGAAGAUAAUGACGGUACCCCAGGAAUAAGGGACGGCUAACUACGUGCCAGCAGCCGCGGUAAUACGUAG